UCAACACCUUAAAAAAAACUUAGGAAAUAUAUCCUGAGCUAGACUAUGAUAUAUCAAGUUCUUGUUCAUCGUCUAAACUUGCAUCUUCACUUGUAAAACUUUAUUCUUCAAAAUCUGCAAGUACAAAAUUUUGAAAAGAGGGUAAAACAACUAUUGGUAUAAUACAAAAAACAACAACAUAUUAUGGUAAUGGAAUAUUUGUCAAGGAUUCUAAACAACAUUAGUGCUUUACCCGAUUUCAAAUUCCAUCCAAAUUCUGGAAAAAAACUACAUUCGCACUUGGUAUUCUCCCUAUCAAGUACUUGGGACUGCCACUUACCUCAAAAAAGUGGACAAAGAUGGAUUUACAACAACUAGUAAAUAAAAUUAUAGCAAGAAUGCAAGCUGCUUCUGCUAAGCAUUUGUUUUAAGUAGUUAUGGCAGUGCUUUUUUCCAUUCAUAAUUAUUGAGGAGCAGUUUUUAUCUUACCUCAAUGUGUUUUAAAGGAGAUUGAUAGGAAGUGUAGGGAGUUCUUAUGGAAUGCAACUGUGGAGGAGGCUAGAAAGGGAUUUAUCACACGGCUGGCAUGUCAAAGGAGGCUACUCACUCGUGAGGGAUUGCUAAAAAUAAGAAUUUUAGUGGAGGAUCGAAAUUGUUGUUUGUGUGAGAAGAGGGUACUGGAGACACAACAACACUUGUUUAUGGAUUGUAGGUGGAUUAAUGGUGCGAAAAUCAUGAUGUGUACACGGCUAGGUGUUCAAUUACCAUGCAGAGGAGUUUACAAAACAAUUAAAUGGAUCAAAAGGAGAAGGUGGAAGCAGUUUCAAAAGGAAGUUAUUGCAGCAGCCUGGGGUGCAUUGGUCUACGACACCUGGAUAGCUAGUCACAAGAGAGUUUUUAAUCACCAGAAUGUAAAUGUUUAAUUUGUUACUGCACAAAUACAAAAGGAACUAAGAGAAAGAAUAGAUAUGUUUCAGGUGUCAAGAAAAGCACAUAAAUGUCAUAGUUUUAUACAACUAAUUUGUAACUAGUUUUUCUGGAGAUCUAGUGGUUUUAAGACACCCUUCCUAGAAGUUGGUUGAGGAACUCUAGAUGCUCAUUAGGCUGUACUCUUUUUCUUGUUAUGGUAAUAUUUCAUAUGUGUUACCAAAUAACAACAACAUAUAUACCUAGUUGGACAUAUUAUAGAAAACACCCAACAUCCACUUCAGAACAUAUUUUUCUUUUGAAGGGUACAGAACAGUGCAAGAAUCAUAUAACGGCAGUGUAUAAAACAUCCUCUACCAAACAGAAACUGAGCAUCCAAAUUACAACUCCCAUGGUGCAAACUAUGGCAUAUUAACAUGGAAGUACUCAUGAUUCUAGACUAAAAAUACAACAAACUAGUACCUGUUAAUUUAUAGUCACUAUAGGAAGAAACAAUCUGCAGCAAGCUUGUAGUAGACAACCUACUAGGAGAUAACAAAUCUUAUGCACGCCUCAUUAAGAUUAAGUUCAUUUCGGACAUUAACAAGCACACCAUAUACCAACAGAAAGCUAAACUGCUUACCUCAAAAGCAAUCUGAUUUACUUCAAGUAAUGUCCAAAACAUCAACAAAGCUGUGAGAAUACAAGAACACUUAAUUAGACAAGCGUUCGAUGCAUAUACUACGAAGAACUGAAGCUUGUAACAAUGAUUGUUGCCUUACAGUUUAUUUCUUCUUCUUCAGAAAAUGCAUUCACU
rnacentral:lncRNA from 1 species